GGAGCCGUGCGCCUGCGCAGACGGACGAGGCGCCUGGGCGCCAUCUUGGUGGCGGUUUCUUUUUGCUGCCCGAGUCGUCGUCGAAGCAGCGGUGACCGUGAGGAGGAUGAGGCAAGUCAGGGGAAUCAUUCGUCUUUCUGCCGCUGGUUGUGGCGUCUUUCGUCCUUUUUCUCAUCCCGGAUAUAAGAACACGGGCUAAUAAGAUUUGAUCUAACGUAUGAAAAGGAACAAAGUUACACUUAAUAUGUAAGAAGAAACUGCAGAUGCUGGUUUAAACCGAAGAUACACACAAAAAGAUGGAGUAACUCAGUGGGACAGGCAGCAUCUCUGGAGAGAAGAAAUGGGUGAUGUUUUGGGUCGAGACCCUUCUUCAGACUUGCAUAUUACACUUAAUAUGUCAGCUCACACAACACACCAGCAGGUGAUAUCUGUAGCAGCAGGCAGACGAGCUUCCUCAUGCAGCAACAGUUCAAGUAAAUAAAAAUGUCAAUGUAUUUCAGCUAUUUGUAAAAAAAUACUUACAUUUUUGCCACUUCUUUAACAACUUCCCUGCAUGUCAUAUCUUUCAUCUAAAAUGAAUCAUGAAGAGUGUUUAUAUAUUAGAUAUUAUGUUCUUCAGUACACUCCAAAGCAAGCCCAGUUUUUAUCUUAAGCAAGUGAUUCAACCAAGACGCAGAUUUAUUUCAUCCUCCAUUUUGAAGCCACAUUGUUAAAUGUUUUUUAAUGUAACCUCUGUUUUAAUAAAACCUCUAACAGGA